GUAUCAUCUUAGGUUACAAAAAGAAUGCAUGUCAAUAAAAAUACGAGUCAUGGGAAUGCUCCUCCACUACAAACACAUGAUCUGAUCUAAAUAAGUUUGCUAAUUCCAUAAAGCUAACUAAGAAAUGCACCAUGAUUCUGUCAUUAGUUUCUUUUCCUUUCAUCAUCAUUCUUUGAUUGCUGACAGAAAGGAAAUGAGAGGAAAAUUAUGGGCCAAGGUUCAAUGGAGGACUGUUGUUUAUGACUUCUUCAUGAGAUACCCCAAAAUUAU
rnacentral:misc_RNA from 1 species